rnacentral:rRNA from 1 species
CCUACGGGAGGCAGCAGUGAGGAAUAUUGGUCAAUGGGCGCGAGCCUGAACCAGCCAAGUCGCGUGAGGGAAGACGGUCCUAUGGAUUGUAAACCUCUUUUGUCGGGGAGCAAAAGACGCCACGCGUGGCGUUCCGAGAGUACCCGAAGAAAAAGCAUCGGCUAACUCCGUGCCAGCAGCCGCGGUAAUACGGAGGAUGCGAGCGUUAUCCGGAUUUAUUGGGUUUAAAGGGUGCGCAGGCGGAAGGUCAAGUCAGCGGUAAAAUUGAGAGGCUCAACCUCGUCGAGCCGUUGAAACUGGUUGUCUUGAGUGAGCGAGAAGUAUGCGGAAUGCGUGGUGUAGCGGUGAAAUGCAUAGAUAUCACGCAGAACUCCGAUUGCGAAGGCAGCAUACCGGCGCUCAACUGACGCUCAUGCACGAAAGUGUGGGUAUCGAACAGGAUUAGAUACCCCGGUAGUC